UACGGAGGGUGCGAGCGUUGUCCGGAAUCACUGGGCGUAAAGGGCGCGUAGGUGGCGCGGGCAGUCAACGGUGAAAGUUCGGGGCUCGAACCCUGAAUCGGCCGUCGAUACUCCCGGGCUUGAGCACUGUAGAGGCAGAUGGAAUUCCGGGGUGUAGCGGUGGAAUGCGUAGAGAUCCGGAAGAACACCGGUGGCGAAGGCGGUCUGCUGGGCAGUGAGCUGACACUGAGGCGCGACAGCGUGGGGAGCAAACAGG
rnacentral:rRNA from 1 species